UUAACCUUUAUAUGAUACUCUAUUUUUUCAUUUUUAUCUAAUGUGGAGCUUAGACUCACUUAGAUUAUCAACAAAAAUAUUCUCAAGAGAAAGGUUUAGAAUAUAGAAAAAAUAAUUAGUGAAGGAAGCCUUGCCUCCUUGAAGGAAUUUUCCUUUUCCUUAGUUUCUUUUCUCUAAAUCUCCAUUUUAGCUCUCUUUUCUCUUUCUUCAUUCUCUUCCUUUCUUUUUUCUCUUCCUUUUGUUUCUUUCUUCUCUCUUGUUCUUCUUCCUUUCUUUUCUUUUCUUCCUUUCUCUUUCUUUUAUUUUCCUACAUCUUAAAUUCUUCCUCUCAUUCUUGCUUUUUUAACUUGAAAAACAUAGGAAAACACUUAGGAGGAAAGUG
rnacentral:lncRNA from 1 species